AUGGCUGUGAGCCUGUGACUGCGAAGUGCGAACCCUGAAGUGUAUUUCUUGAUCGGUUUGUUGAAGUUUGUGCUGUAGUUCGUGCUGUGUGCAGGGGAAAUGGCUUCUAAAUGAGGUAAACGCAUGUUCAUUUUGCAACUGUUCGAAGAAUACAGGGGCUUACUAGCCAUGUGCUGCGUUAUAUCAAGUGAUUAUAGUAACAGCCGAAAGAAAAGAGAACAAUAUAAUUAGUUAUUGGCGUAAUACAGGGAAAUGCACCCCGAAGCGACAAGUUCCAGCUAGUGAAGAAAUUAAAUCCGUUGCAGAUAAAUUACGGACCAUAACUUAGAAGAGUUAUGAAUCCAUCGAAAACCGGAGCUGGUACUGACGAGCUACAGGAACGAACACUGUGGUACUUCGAUGUAUUGACCUGUUUGAAAGAACACGAAACCCCCUUCCAAUUCAUUAAGCUCCAUUAACAUAACCACGUGGAUGAGGCGAAGCAGAAGAUGAAGAGAGACGUGAUGUAUGUGUGCCCGAGCAAAACAUUAUCAUGCUUCAUAUGUACAUAAAGAAGAUACCUCUUAGAUAUGAUGCAAAUGCAAUAACACAAGCUGCAGAUGUUUUUUUUUUUUUUUUUUUUAAUUCCUUAUGAAACAUUGAGAUGUUCAUGUGAAAAUCCUGUUAAAGUCAAAGGCUGUGGGAAAACAACAGUGCUGUCAGAAGAGGAGGAAAAGUAUAUAGUAGAGGCUCUAGUGUUUACAGCAAAGUGUGGAUAUCUGUGAGACAGAAAAGAUUUACAAUUUAUGGUGUGUAGUUACAUACAUUCAGUGGGUAGGAAGACACCAUUUAAGGACGAUAAUGCUAUGCCAGGCUGUGUCUUUAUUGUAUGUUUCGAAAAAAGAUUGCGAAAACCUGAACUAUUGACAAGAGCAAGGGCUGAAGGAUUGUCUAAUUUUGUAGCAGAUGAGUUUUGUAGGAUGUUUGUCCCUAAAAGUGCAAGGGUAACCUAUUCAAGAUCAGGGGAUGCAGGAAUAUCAUAUAGCCUAUAAUAAUGUUACAUUAUGGGUUCUGAUUAUUGUGUAUAAUACUGUCUUUUUCAUAGAGUUUUGUUUACAGUGUAAAAAAAUCCAUUUAAUAUGUAAUAUUGUGUAGUUUAAUUAUUUAUUGUGCUUAAGAUGGUCCAUUGUGUAAAGUGUAAUAUAAACAUUAAGAAACAAGUUUCACGUA